AGAGUUUGAUCCUGGCUCAGAGUGAACGCUAGUAAUAUGCCUAACACAUGCUAGUUGAACGGAAAUUUUUAAAUUUCAGUAGCGUAAGGGUGAGUAAUACGUGAGAAUCUGCCUAAAAGUUCAGUAUACUUCUGUUAUAGAUUAAUUCUGAAUAAUAUAUAAAGAUUGUUUUUAUCGCUUUUAGAUGAACUCGCGCAAGAUUAGGUUGUUGGUGAGGUAAAAGCUUAACAAGCCUGUGAUCUUUAGUUGGUAUGGGAGUAUGAUCAACCACAUUGGGAAUGAGAAAAGGCCCAGGUUCUUUUUAGAGGCAGCAGUGAGGAAUUUUGGACAAUGAGCGCAAGCUUGAUCCAGCAAUGUUACGUGAGUGAAGAAAGUUAUGUGAAUUGUAAAACUCUAAGUUUGAAGAAGAUAAUGACGGUAUUCAAAUGAAUAAUCCCGACUAACUUCGUGCCAGCAGUCGCGGUAAUACGAAGGGGAUAAGCGUUACUCAGCAUUAUUGGGCGUAAAGGGUGCGUAGGUGGUUUAAUAAGUUAAUACGAAAAUCCAAGACAUUUAAUUUUUGUAAAGUGAUUAAUACUGUUAAACUAGAGUGUAAAAGAGGAUAGUAGUAUUCUUAGUGUAGAGGUAAAAUUCGUAAAUAUUAAGAGGACUAUCAAUAGGCGAAGGCAACUAUCUGGUUUAUUCUGACGCUGAGGCACGAAAGCAUGGGGAGCAAACAGGAUUAGAUACCCUGGUAGUCCAUGCCCUGACCGAUGAAUGUUGAAAGCUAAAGUAUUUAUUUAGUUUUUAAGCUAACGCGUUAAACAUUCCGCCUGGGGACUACGACCGCAAGGUUGAAACUCAAAGGAAUGACGG
rnacentral:rRNA from 1 species